rnacentral:misc_RNA from 1 species
UGUUGUUCUUGAUUAGGUUUUGGAUUAUAUUUCAUGCUGGAAGAUUAUUUGUCCCAAAAGUAGUUUCUCAUUAACGCAUCAGUUUUUGGCCCCGCUCGGAGGCUAUGCUCUUUUGUUUUUAAAGUCAUUCUCUGUUGACUUUUUCCCCCUUGAAUGCCUAUCUGAUUUGAAUGUUAAUUUGUUUAGGCAAGCCUUUUGUUG